rnacentral:tRNA from 1 species
AAGACUGUGGUGUAGUUGGUAGCGUGUCCGUCCGGCAAACGGAAGUCGUAGGUUCAAGUCCUACCAGCCUCU